AGAACCAUGUGCUAGUGGCAAACGGAAAGAAAUGCGAUCAUUGACAAGCUGUACAUCGGUGUCCGAUCUCCGGGGCUCGUUUGGUGUCAUUACAUCUACAGAUUGUUAGAAGGCAGAGACUAGGGUACAAUCAGUGGGAAAAUCUGGAAUUUUAAAUCUGGAACUGAACAUUAAACACACUUGAGCGAAGAAACACUCAUUGAAGUUUUGUCUAAGGUGAAGAACGUGUGGAUGCUAUAAACCUGCAAUAUUAACUCAAACGUUCCAAGAGGAGAACACUUGGUUAGUCUAUCAAAGAAUGACCAUCAGCG